rnacentral:rRNA from 1 species
GACGAACGCUGGCGGCGUGCUUAACACAUGCAAGUCGAACGGAAAGGCCCUGCUUUUGUGGGGUGCUCGAGUGGCGAACGGGUGAGUAACACGUGAGUAACCUGCCCUUGACUUUGGGAUAACUUCAGGAAACUGGGGCUAAUACCGGAUAGGAGCUCCUGCUGCAUGGUGGGGGUUGGAAAGUUUCGGCGGUUGGGGAUGGACUCGCGGCUUAUCAGCUUGUUGGUGGGGUGGUGGCUUACCAAGGCUUUUACGGGUAGCCGGCCUGGGGGGGUGGCCGGGCAAUGUGGGGCAAGAGACACGGCCAGGACCCCUCGGGGGGGCGGCAGGGGGAAAUUUUCCACAGGGGCAGGACGCUGUAUGACGCACCGCCGGGGGGGGGAUGGCGGCCUUCGGUUUUAACCCCGCUUCCGCUUGGGAGCAAGGGUGAGUGAGGUUAUGGGAUAAAGAACCCCGGCCAAACUCCGUC